rnacentral:rRNA from 1 species
UACAGAGGUCCCGAGCGUUUGUUCGGAUUCACUGGGCGUAAAGGGUGCGCAGGUGGUUUGGCAAGUUUGAUGUGAAAGCCCCGGGCUUAACCCGGGAAUGGCAUUGAAUACUGCUUGAACUGGAGGGUUGGAGGGGGGACUGGAAUUCUUGGUGUAGCAGUGAAAUGCGUAGAUAUCAAGAGGAACACCAGUGGCGAAGGCGAGUCCCUGGACAAACCCUGACACUGAGGCACGAAAGCCAAGGGAGCAAACGGG